UUUUUGCGUUAGGGAUAGUAGCGGUUACCCCACAGGUCCUAUUGGCUUUUGCGAAUUGGGCCGAGGAGUAAAAGCGGAUAGCCCGCCCCUUU
rnacentral:misc_RNA from 1 species